rnacentral:misc_RNA from 1 species
GAAAUGCGAUAAGUAGUGUGAAUUGCAGAAUUCAGUGAAUCAUCGAAUCUUUGAACGCACAUUGCGCCCCUCGGUAUUCCGUGGGGCAUGCCUGUUCGAGCGUCAUCUACACCCUCAAGCUCUGCUUGGUGUUGGGCGUCUGUCCCGCCUCCGCGCGCGGACUCGCCCCAAAUGCAUUGGCAGCGGUUCCUUGCCCCCCUCUUUGCGCAGCACAUUGCCAUUCGAGGCGGCGGCGGCCCGCGUCCAACAAGCUCAACCCCCCCGUCUUUGACCUCGGAUCAGGUAGGGAUACCCGCAGAACUUAAGC